CUUCUGUCCUGUUUUUAAACCAGAUUCACGCCGGAGGCCAAGGCCGGUCGGCAUCCGUUCGUUUACCUGCCGUUCGGGGCCGGCCCCCGUAACUGCGUGGGCAUGAGGCUCGCUCAGCUGGAAAUCAAAAUGGCUCUCGUGCGUCUGUUCCGCAAGUUCAUCAUCGUGGCCUGCUCCGAGACCGAGGUUCCUCUUGAGUUGAAGUCGUCGAGCACUCUAGGACCUAAAAAUGGCAUAUUUGUGAAGAUUCAACGUAGGGACCCGACAGAAGGUCACGAGAAUUCUUCGCCAGACAAGUAGAAACUGACGAAGACGAGUCCUAUGAAGUGAUGAAGCCUUCUGCGGGGCCAUGUUGUUAAGGAUCUGUUCCUUUUUAAACGUGAUUCGGAGGGAACGAUAUGCCUCAAACAAAGUGCUCGUCUUGUGCUUUUCUUCUUGGCAAGCGAGCUGGAGAAUGGAGGGAUGAGGAGACCAGAGUAAAGAGAGAGGAGUGAAUAAAGGAAUACAACUGUGCCUGUUGGAGCUAUUUGACACUAGUAUUUAGUUAUUUUAUUGAAAAGUAAUAUUGUUAAUCAUUGCUUAUUUGGGUUGGAUAUUUUGACAAGUUAGAAUGGCUUUUUCACAUGAUAGUUUUAGUUUCAUUCAUUGUUUAAAUAUAUUUAGUUUUUUGAUUGUCUCACUAAUCGUGUAACACUGUGGGCACCUGUGAUUAUAUAGGUACAGGACCAGCAUGCACUGGGGUGUUCUAUGUUUUUUUUUACCAGCACAUGAGAGGCAGUGUCAACAGUUUUGUUUGUUCCUUCUGUUUGUUUGCUUGUUUGUUUAGUAAAUAUAUGAUCAGAGUAAUGGAAAACAGAAAUCGACAUUAGUUUCUUUUGGCUGCGUCAAUUACAAAACCCCAUUUAUAGUUGUGAUUGAUUUAUUGCACACAUGGCCACUACAGUGCCUGUAACCAUAUUGAUUUUUUUUUUUAAAUAAAUUUUGCGCAGGUGUCAUGAAAAGGUUAUUUAGGGAGAAGCAUAUUAUCCAUUCACUGUCGAUCAAAUCUAUCACCUGACCCUCAAGGUUUGCACAUUCCUUUAUUUAAUGGCAGUCUGUUGACGGUGCUGCCAUCUUCACCACGGCGUCCUCCUGUUUCACGAUGCCACAGUGAGGUCAUGUGUCUGAUAAUCUCCCCAGAUGAAAGCUGCUAUUUCAGAGUGAAAACAAGUUGUUUUGUGAUAUGAAAUCAUCAUGUUGUCUUUUAUUCCUGAUGAGUCAGCGUUUAUCACAAGUCUCAAAACAGGAAAGUGGACUUUACUCGCCCAAAGUUUCUCAGUAAAAACUUAAGUCAACCUCAAAAGGUUGGAGUAAAAGCAUUUUAUCCUGUUUCUCUUGACGUCAAUUCAUUUUCCUUCAAGGAGAACAUCUACAGCAAGGAGACACACACACAUGUAAAGAAUAUAUAUUAUAGCUUAGCACAGCCUAGUAUUGUUUGCAUAAAUAUUAUGUGUAAGAUGGAAAACACUGAAUGGAAGUUAAAAUCUCCAGCGGAGCACUCUGGUGCCUGACUGAUCUAAAGAAAGAUAACAGUGACACUUGGUGAGGUUUUGUGAGCCCCCCUCCUCCGCAUCCACACAUUCCGGAGGUGAUCACAUACAAAGAGCUCUCUAUACUCUCAGAGCGUAGGAAGGGUCCAGAUGUGGCCAUUAUUCUCCUUUUAGACACUUGAGGCUACUCACUGACACACACACACACACGUGAAGGGCCCCUUUUGACAAAUGACCUCCAGCGCAUCCCACCUCGGAAGAGAUAAGACUAUCUUAGGAAACUCCCCAGCUCAGACAAAGGAAGCUACAUGUGAAUUCCAUCUUUCUUCCCACACUCUUUUUCACAACAUAUGCACUCAUUGGCAGACGAGAAGAACCAAUGAAGGAGCGACAACGGCGGAAUCAGAGGGACAAGAGCCAAUGAGAAAACCCCACCCCCUUAUCUCCUGACGAAUCAGAACUGUUCCUUUCGGCUAUUUAAAAUGGCUGCACACUCUGAACCGGCGUCUUCUCUCCAGCGCUGGGGCCACUGGUCCCAGCUGAGGGGGGUCCAUGCAUGAUGUCCACUUGUAUCCUGAUUUCUGAAUAAAACGCUAACAAAUGUAACGUAGAAGUCUACCGCUCUAUUUCUUCCAGUGAGUGUCGUCCAGGUGGUGUGUCGCUGUCCAACUCCAACACACACACAUAGCUAUUCAUCAGGCAGGGGGAUACGUCUUACUUUACUCUGAGAGGCUUGUAUUGAAUUGCAUCCCUGCACUAAUUGUAAUUGUUAAUUUAUACAUUAAGAGUGAUUUACUGAUGGUUAAUUCAAAUGUAUCUAAUGAAAAAUGUAUAUUUCACCAGCUGUGAUUAAAAUGUGCCUGUUUGAAGGAUCUGCACUUACAAUGGGUCAAAGGUCACUUGUGUGGAACUAAACGUGUGCUGAUGAGAUUUCUCUGUUCUAUUGUUAUUCAAUACCAGUAAAAAGUCACCUGUUAA